rnacentral:rRNA from 1 species
UACGUAGGAUGCAAGCGUUGUCCGGAUUUAUUGGGUUUAAAGGGUGCGUAGGCGGCCUAUUAAGUUAGUGGUGAAAACGUUCGGCUUAACCGGAUACCCGCCAUUGAUACUGAUAGACUUGAGUGCGACAGAGGGUGUUGGAAUGUGUGGUGUAGCGGUAAAAUGCGUAGAUCUCGGGAGGAACACCAAUGGCGAAGGCAGCUUCUUGGUUCAUACCUGACGUUGAGGCACGAAAGCGUGGGGAGCAAACAGG